AUUGAACGCUGGCGGCAUGCCUUACACAUGCAAGUCGAACGGCAGCACGGGUGCUUGCACCUGGUGGCGAGUGGCGAACGGGUGAGUAAUACAUCGGAACAUGUCCUGUAGUGGGGGAUAGCCCGGCGAAAGCCGGAUUAAUACCGCAUACGAUCCACGGAUGAAAGCGGGGGACCUUCGGGCCUCGCGCUAUAGGGUUGGCCGAUGGCUGAUUAGCUAGUUGGUGGGGUAAAGGCCUACCAAGGCGACGAUCAGUAGCUGGUCUGAGAGGACGACCAGCCACACUGGGACUGAGACACGGCCCAGACUCCUACGGGAGGCAGCAGUGGGGAAUUUUGGACAAUGGGCGAAAGCCUGAUCCAGCAAUGCCGCGUGUGUGAAGAAGGCCUUCGGGUUGUAAAGCACUUUUGUCCGGAAAGAAAUCCUUGACUCUAAUACAGUCGGGGGAUGACAGUACCGGAAGAAUAAGCACCGGCUAACUACGUG
rnacentral:rRNA from 1 species